UACGUAGGGGGGCAAGCGUUGUCCGGAAUCAUUGGGCGUAAAGAGCGUGUAGGCGGUUCGGUAAGUCGGCUGUGAAAGUCCAGGGCUCAACCCUGGGAUGCCGGUCGAUACUGCCGGACUAGAGUUCGGAAGAGGCGAGUGGAAUUCCCGGUGUAGCGGUGAAAUGCGCAGAUAUCGGGAGGAACACCUAUGGCGAAGGCAGCUCGCUGGGACGUUACUGACGCUGAGAACGCGAAAGCGUGGGGGAGCAAACAGG
rnacentral:rRNA from 1 species